UCUGUUUGUUUCGAACUAAUCUGUUUUCGUCAGGUUCGUUAAGAAAAGUCUUUUGCAAUAUAUCUUUCGUAAGGUCUCUGUCAGAGCUCCACACCCAGUCUGCUCUUUAAAAGGAGUCCGGUCUGCAGGUACAGCUCGUCUGCAGUACUGUGCUGCUGCGAGAGGAAAGAUAACAGCGAAAAUGAAGUCUGGUUUGAGGGUCGCUUUCCUUCUACUUCUGGUUACUGGAACAGUGACUGCAAAAGGAUCGGACCUCUCCGAAGCCCCCAAUGAUAAUGAUCUCCACCGUGAAGCAGCUGCUCAGCGACC